AAAAGAAAAAAAAAAAAAAAGAAAGAAGAAAGAAAGAAAAAAGAUAAAGAAAGGGAAAAUGAAGAAAAAAAUAAGGGAAGUCGAAAGAGUCUUUGAUAGUGAAAAUGAAGAGUAAUGUAUUAAAAUUAAGGUGACAUGUCAGGACCAGCGUGUGGGGUAGGCACAAAGCACUUUGUAGACAUAGUUCAGCUCUGACAAUGUAAUUGAAUAGAAACUCCAAUGAUUAUUUUAGUACCCUCAUUUAAAUAUUUUUCCUCUCGCAUUUAGUAAUUGUUUAAAGAAUUGGCCGGAGAUAACCUCAGUUACUGGCCAUCACGAUGCUUAACCCUUGGGUACAGGGAGCGGGUCGUGACAUGAGUGUUCUUAGUUGAUUUGUGAAGGGUAUUUUGGUCCAAG